UAUAAAGUCAAGGUCCGAUGAAAGAAUUCCUUUGACGGACUUUCGUGACACGCUUCCAAGAAUAAGGGAGGAAUCAAAAAAAAAAAAUAUGAAGGAAAAUUUGCAUAGAAGGAAAAGAACGGGAUGCGGCUGUUAGGAAUAAGAUUGGUCUUCUCUCCCUAAUAUCGCUCAACGAACGGCGUCCCGAUAGAGCUGGGGAGUGCCUGUCUCCCAUGGCAUCCUCGGCCAGUUAAAGCACCUGUCCAGUGUCCGGAACAAUUCUGAUUAAGAAGUCAACCGCCGUUUGCGAAGCCACGAAGGAAUGCUCAAGAGGCGUUUUGGUCUCGCUGUCAACUCUUUUGUUUGACAUUUUUAGUUUUUAACUCGAGGUGGCUCCCAGUUUUAAAUUCUUGAAGUUAAUAAAGUCCUCUCGCUGUUAUUUUCAUGCCACUCCCCUCUCUGAUUGUUGUAUUGUUUUUAUUCUCCUAAGAUACAUCUGCUGACUAUUUAUGUCAUCAGGAGUGAACUCGAAUGAAGUAGCUACAUUUAUGCGCCUCAUUAUUUUCCAUAACGUGUACCUCAUUUUUCUCAGUGGUGACUACAGCAGAAGAGCCUCUCAAAUAUCCUUUCGUGGCAGCCUGGCAUUUAGAGUAGACAGCAUUCUCCGAGAAACAACUGUGAGUCAUCGAAGGGCAAAACUUCAGCUACAAAAUCGCCUGACAACGUUGUUAUUGGUCGUAAUGCUCUUCCUCCUCUUGUGUUCCCAGCUGUCUGAACGCGUCAUGUUUUCUUCUUGUCUACUCCGUUCAGCUUUGACUCUGCUUUCAUUGGUACUUUUGCUGGUAGCACUGUAACUUCUGCUACUAUUUCUGCUAUAAUUACUAUCCCUAUGAUUGAUACUACUGCUAAUGUUACUACCUUUCCAACUACCAAUACUGCUACUUCGUACAGUUGAUUUUAGACACUACUUCAACUAUUACUACCUAUUAUCCAACUCCUCUGUCUAAUGUUAUUACUGCUGCUACUAUUGCUGCCACUGCUACUUUUACCACCACCAUCAUCAAUACUACUUCUACUACUACUACUACUACUACUACUACUACUACUACAACUAAUACAACUACUACUAGCACCACCACAUUCUGACAAAAACAAUGACAGGCCUUCAGUCACUUUCUUACAGCUAUUCCUACGCCACUAAGUUACAGCUACUACGGCUACAGCUGUUAUUUCUGCUACAUUUGCGACUAAUUCAACUACAUCUGUUACGCCUAUUUUUUGUUAUGCUUAUUUCAAACGAGUUGAGUAUAGACUACAACCCUCCCUCGCUUUCAGCCUUUCCAACAACACUACCUGUUACGUACCUCUGCGACAUUAGGAAUUCCCUUUUCGAACGCUGAACUGAAACCUAUGACAAGAAUUGAAAUUGAUUGUUGCUUUCAUGUUCUUGUUAAAAAUAUUAUUAUUGUUAUUGUCAUUAAUAGUUUUGCUGUUGUUACUAGUAAUGUUUGAUUUGCUAUAGUUGCUGUUGUUAAAUAAUCCUUAUUAUUAUGGUCAUUGUUGUUAUAAUUUUUAUUAUUAUAAUUAUCAGUGUUA
rnacentral:lncRNA from 1 species